UAUCUGGUUGAUUCUGCCAGUAGUCAUAUGCUUGUCUCAAAGAUUAAGCCAUGCAUGUCUAAGUAUAAGCACUCUUUUACUGUGAAACUGCGAAUGGCUCAUUAAAUCAGUUAUCGUUUAUUUGAUAGUACCCUACUACAUGGAUACCUGUGGUAAUUCUAGAGCUAAUACAUGCGCAAAACCCCGACUUCGGAAGGGGUGUAUUUAUUAGAUAAAAAACCAAUGCCCUUCGGGGCUCCUUGGUGAUUCAUAAUAACUUCACGAAUCGCAU
rnacentral:ncRNA from 1 species